AGCGAACGCUGGCGGCAGGCCUAACACAUGCAAGUCGAACGAACCUUUCGGGGUUAGUGGCGGACGGGUGAGUAACACGUGGGAACGUGCCUUUAGGUUCGGAAUAACUCAGGGAAACUUGUGCUAAUACCGAAUGUGCCCUUCGGGGGAAAGAUUUAUCGCCUUUAGAGCGGCCCGCGUCUGAUUAGCUAGUUGGUUGAGGUAAUGGCUCACCAAGGCGACGAUCAGUAGCUGGUCUGAGAGGAUGAUCAGCCACAUUGGGACUGAGACACGGCCCAAACUCCUACGGUAGGCAGCAGCGGGGAAUCUUGCGCAAUGGGCGAAAGCCUGACGCAGCCAUGCCGCGUGAAUGAUGAAGGUCUUAGGAUUGUAAAAUUCUUUCACCGGGGACGAUAAUGACGGUACCCGGAGAAGAAGCCCCGGCUAACUUCGUG
rnacentral:rRNA from 1 species